GUUCAGUAUUUGAACUCUGUUUGUGACCGAUGAGCGUCUGUUAACCAAUGAAAAGACUUGCAUAAAUUUAGACCAAUCACAAACAGAGUUCAAAUAUUGAAC